UACGAAGGGUGCAAGCGUUGUUCGGAAUUACUGGGCGUAAAGGGUUCGUAGGCGGGAAGAUAAGUUGGAUGUGAAACCUCUGGGCUUAACCUAGAACGUGCAUCCAAAACUGUCUUUCUUGAGUACCGGAGAGGGUUGUGGAAUUGCUGGUGUAGGAGUGACAUCCGUAGAGAUCAGCAGGAACACCGGAGGCGAAAGCGACAACCUGGUCGAGUACUGACGCUGAGGAACGAAAGCGUGGGGAGCAAACAGG
rnacentral:rRNA from 1 species